GGUGUAGGGGUAAAAUCCGUAGAGAUCAGAAGGAAUACCGAUUGCGAAGGCGAUCUACUGGAACAUUAUUGACAGCUGAGAUGCGAAAGCGUGGGGAGCAAACAGGAUUAGAUACCCUGGUAGUCCACGCCCUAAACGAUGUACACUAGUUGUUGUGAGACUAGAUCUUGCAGUAAUGCAGUUAACACAUUAAGUGUACCGCCUGGGGAGUACGGUCGCAAGAUUAAAACUCAAAGGAAUAGACGGGGACCCGCACAAGCGGUGGAGCAUGUGGUUUAAUUCGACGAUACACGAAGAACCUUACCUGGACUUGACAUAGUAAGAAUGAUUUAGAGAUAGAUUAGUGUCUGCUUGCAGAAACUUGCAUACAGGUGCUGCACGGCUGUCGUCAGCUCGUGUCGUGAGAUGUUGGGUUAAGUCCCGCAACGAGCGCAACCCUCGUCGUUAGUUGCUAACAGUUCGGCUGAGAACUCUAACGAGACUGCCUACGCAAGUAGGAGGAAGGUGAGGAUGACGUCAAGUCAUCAUGGCCCUUACGUCCAGGGCUACACACGUGCUACAAUGGGAUAUACAAAGAGCCGCAAUACAGUGAUGUGGAGCAAAUCUUAUAAAAUAUCUCCCAGUUCGGAUUGUAGUCUGCAACUCGACUACAUGAAGUUGGAAUCGCUAGUAAUCGUAGAUCAGCUAUGCUACGGUGAAUACGUUCCCGGGUCUUGUACUCACCGCCCGUCACACCAUGGGAGUUGAACUCAUUCGAAGCGGAGAUGCUAAAGUAGCUACCUUCCACAGUGGAUUCAGCGACUGGGGUGAAGUCGUAACAAGGUAACCGUAGGAGAACCUGCGGCUGGAUCACCUCCUAAG
rnacentral:rRNA from 1 species